rnacentral:rRNA from 1 species
AUUGAACGCUGGCGGCAUGCCUUACACAUGCAAGUCGAACGGCAGCACGGGUGCUUGCACCUGGUGGCGAGUGGCGAACGGGUGAGUAAUACAUCGGAACAUGUCCUGUAGUGGGGGAUAGCCCGUCGAAAGCCGGAUUAAUACCGCAUACGAUCCACGGAUGAAAGCUGGGGACCUUCGGGCCUCGCGCUAUAGGGUUGGCCGAUGGCUGAUUAGCUAGUUGGUGGGGUAAAGGCCUACCAAGGCGACGAUCAGUAGCUGGUCUGAGAGGACGACCAGCCACACUGGGACUGAGACACGGCCCAGACUCCUACGGGAGGCAGCAGUGGGGAAUUUUGGACAAUGGGCGAAAGCCUGAUCCAGCAAUGCCGCGUGUGUGAAGAAGGCCUUCGGGUUGUAAAGCACUUUUGUCAGGAAAGAAAUCCUUGGCUCUAAUACAGGCGGGGGAUGACGGUACCGGAAGAAUAAGCACCGGCUAACUACGUG